CCUACGGGAGGCAGCAGUGAGGAAUAUUGGUCAAUGGGCGGGAGCCUGAACCAGCCAAGCCGCGUGAGGGAAGAAGGUACAGCGUAUCGUAAACCUCUUUUGUCAGGGAACAAAGGCGGGGACUAGUCCCCGGAUGAGGGUACCUGAAGAAAAAGCAUCGGCUAACUCCGUGCCAGCAGCCGCGGUAAUACGGAGGAUGCGAGCGUUAUCCGGAUUUAUUGGGUUAAAGGGGUGCGCAGGCGGUCUGUUAAGUCAGCGGUCAAAGCCCGGGGCUCAACCCCGGCCCGCCGUUGAAACUGGCAGUCUCGAGUUGGAGAGAAGUAGGCGGAAUGCGCGGUGUAGCGGUGAAAUGCAUAGAUAUCGCGCAGAACUCCGAUUGUGAAGGCAGCAUGCCGGCUCCACACUGACGCUGAUGCUCGAAAGCGCGGGUAUCGAACAGGAUUAGAUACCCUUGUAGUC
rnacentral:rRNA from 1 species